rnacentral:ncRNA from 1 species
AGGAGCAAAUAGCAAAUCAGGCGAAAACCUGUGACGCAAAACUACAGGGUCUAAGUUCAAGGUGGAAACCGGGAUAAGACAGCCAGUUGCCACA